UGUGUGGGAAAGAGAACACACAGAAAGCAUCUAAGCGUGAAGCCCACCUCAAGAUUAGAUUUCCCAUAGCGUAAGCUAGUAAGACCCCUGAAAGACUAUCAGGUUGAUAGGUUGGAGGUGUAAGUACAGUAAUGUAUUCAGCUGACCAAUACUAAUAGGUCGAGGGCUUGAUCAAAUU
rnacentral:rRNA from 1 species